GGGAAACAUACGCUAAUACCGCAUACGAUGUACGNGAGAAAGCAGGGGACCUUCGGGCCUUGCGCGGUUGGACGAACCGAUGUGCGAUUAGCUAGUUGGUAGGGUAAUGGCCUACCAAGGCGACGAUCGCUAGCUGGUCUGAGAGGAUGAUCAGCCACACUGGAACUGAGACACGGUCCAGACUCCUACGGGAGGCAGCAGUGGGGAAUAUUGGACAAUGGGCGCAAGCCUGAUCCAGCAAUGCCGCGUGUGUGAAGAAGGCCUUCGGGUUGUAAAGCACUUUUAUCAGGAGCGAAAUACUACCGGCUAAUAUCCGGUGGGGCUGACGGUACCUGAGGAAUAAGCACCGGCUAACUUCGUGCCAGCAGCCGCGGUAAUACCAAGGGUGCAAGCGUUAAUCGGAAUUACUGGGCGUAAAGCGUGCGUAGGCGGUUAUUUAAGUCUGUUGUGAAAUCCCCGGGCUCAACCUGGGAAUGGCAAUGGAUACUGGAUAGCUAGAGUGUGAUAGAGGAUGGUGGAAUUCCCGGUGUAGCGGUGAAAUGCGUAGAGAUCGGGAGGAACAUCANUGGCGAAAGCGGCCAUCUGGAUCAACACUGACGCUGAGGCACGAAAGCGUGGGGAGCAAACAGGAUUAAGAUACCCUGGUAGUCCACGCCCUAAACGAUGCGAACUGGAUGUUGGUCUCAACUCGGAGAUCAGUGUCGAAGCUAACGCGUUAAGUUCGCCGCCUGGGGAGUACGGUCGCAAGACUNAAACUNAAAGGAAUUGACGGGGGCCCGCACAAGCGGNGGAGNAUGNGGUUUAAUUNGAUGCAACNCGAAGAACCUUACCUGGCCUUGANAUNUNUGGAAUCCUNCANAGAUGCGGGAGUGCCUUNGGGAAUNANAACACAGGUG
rnacentral:rRNA from 1 species